rnacentral:lncRNA from 1 species
GUUAGCCAGGAUGGUCUCGAUCUCCUGACCUCAUGAUCCACCCGCCUCGGCCUCCCAAUCAUACAGGUUCUUAAAGGCAGUGACCAGGUCCUAACCAGGGUAAUAUCUAGUGUAAAUGUAAUUGAGAGCUUGACAAAGUGGAUGCUGAGAAAACAUCAGCCAACAGCACAGUGAACACCUGAUUUUCUGAGACACAACCAUGAGACUUUUUAUUUGAGACAAGGUCUCCCUCUGUCACUCAGGCUGGAGUGCGGUGGCACUAUCAUAGCCUCACUGCAACUUCAAGCAGUCCUCCCACCUCAGCUUCCCAAGUAGCUGGGACUAUAGGUGUGCACCACCAUGUGCAGCUAACUUUUUUUUUUUUUUGAGACAGAGUCUUGCUCUGUUGUCCAGGCUGCAGUGCAGUGGCAUGACCUCAGCUCACUGAAUCUCUGCCUCCUGGGUUUGAGUGCGUGCCACCACGCCUGACUAAUUUUUUAAUUUUUAGUAGAGACAGGAUUUUACCAUGUUGGCCAGGCUGCUCUCGAACUCCUGACCUCAGGUGAUCCACCUGCCUCGGCCUCCUAAAGUGCUGAGAUAACAGGCGUGAGUCACCACACCCGGUCCCAGCUAACUUUUUAAUUUUCUGUACAGACAGGGUCUAUGUUGUCCAGGCUGGCAUACUUUCAACAGUAUUAAAUAAGUAACAGCUAUUUCAUUUGUCUUGGUUGUAGUGGGGAAAGGACUAACACUGACAAAACUGGGAAACUGCUACAUCUAUUUAUAUAUCCUGAAAAUGAUGGUUCAAUUAUUAAAGCCUUUUUUUAAAAAAUGAAAGAACUCCAAACACAGAAACUCACACUUGACAGUAAACCAAAUGACUGGUCCUAAAAACACAUUUAAAACAUGGGGAACAGGCUAGGCAUGGUGGCUCACACCUGUAAUCCGAGUAAUUUGGGAGGCCGAGGUGGGUGGAUCACUUGAAUUCAGCCAGGAAUUCAAGACCAGGCUGGCCAACAUGGCAAAACCCUGUCUCUACUAAAAAUACAAAAAUUAGCCAAGUGUGGUGGUGCAUGCCUGUAAUCCCAGCUACUGAGGAGGCUGAGGCAGAGAAUCCCUUGAACCUGGGAGGUGGAGGCUGCAGUGAGCUUAGAUUGCACCAGUGAACUCCAGACUGGGCGACAGAGCAAGACUCCAUCUCAAGAAAACAACAGGCCGGGUGUGGUGGCUCACGCCUGUAAUCCCGGCACUUUGGGAGGCUGAGGCGGGUGGACCACGAGGUCAGGAGAUCGAGACCAUCCUGGCUAAC